CCCAUGCAUGUAGCCAAAUUAAAUUAAUAUAUUUUUUUCAAUAACUCAACGCAUUACCACUUCUUUUAAUGAUGCCUUGUGAACCAGUGAGAACUCCAUAAGUAGAAAGCUUGACAAAAGCAAAAGAGAAAGCCUUAAAAAAUUAUCUUGAUCAGCUGCAAAACAUUGUACAUAGGGAGUAGUAAGAAGAUGAAAAGGGAUUUUAGCGUCGAUUUCUGAGAACUCCACGACCGUUGAUGGCAUUGAUGUAGUAGUGAUUGUCAAAGUGUGUCUCAUAACUUGAAGAAGGAAACAAUAAAACAACAGUACGAGAAGGUGAAGGAAAGAACUUCCAACUGAAACCACUAUAAUGUUGGAUCUCAUGUUAUGGAAUAUGACAACAAAGAAAUUAAGCUUGAGAAA